GUGCCAGCCGCCGCGGUAAUACAGAGGUGGCAAGCGUUGUUCGGAAUUAUUGGGCGUAAAGAGCACGUAGGUGGGUUUGUAAGUCAGAUGUGAAAGCCUUCUGUUCAACGGAAGAAUUGCAUCUGAAACUGCGAGUCUUGAGUGUAGGAGGGGAGAAUGGAACUUCUGGUGGAGCGGUGAAAUGCGUAGAUAUCAGAAGGAACGCCGGCGGCGAAAGCGAUUCUCUGGCCUAUUACUGACACUCAGUGUGCGAAAGCUAGGGGAGCAAACGGGAUUAGAUACCCCGGUAGUCCUAGCCGUAAACGAUGGGCACUAGGUAAGGGGAGAACCUGUUUCUCUCUUUGCCGUAGCUAAUGUGUUAAGUGCCCCGCCUGGGGAGUACGCUCGCAAGGGUAAAACUUAAAUAAAUUGGCGGG
rnacentral:rRNA from 1 species